AGUUGGAAUCAUGUCCUCACUGUACCCUCCUGCCUGGAAAAGAUGAAAGGAAAGAGGUCAAGAGAAACCACUCUUGAAUGCCCAAAAAAAAGGGUACAUGGUAUACAUUCACUCACAACAAUUGCAUUAACAACAGCUGUCUUUCCUGCAUUCUGAAGGCCUACAAGGGCUAGCUCCAUUUCCUGUUUAACGAAAAAACUAAUACAUGGACACCAGUUAAAAAGCAUUAAGGACUAUCUACAGAAGGAAAUUAUUGAACUUACCAUCAUACAAACCACAGAUGAACCAAUAAGAGUCUUAAAAAUAAGCUGCUAAGAACAAUAAAGGAUACAAAAAUAAAUAAAUAAAUAAAU
rnacentral:misc_RNA from 1 species